rnacentral:lncRNA from 1 species
CUUUAUAGUCAUUUAUUAUAUGAAAAAACUUCAAAUACUAUUCCUGUGAUUUCACACUUUCUCACUUUAGUGCCCUAUGAUUUAAAGUGUAUCAAUUUAAUGCCAUGUGAUUUUUUUUUAUCCUUUUAUUAUUGAUUUUACUAAUUUUUUUCGUUAAAUUAGUGACAAAGUUACAACUAAAAGGUACUAAAGUGAAUAUUCGAUAAAUCUAGAUAGAGUAUCUGAAGUUUAUUGUAUAUAAUUUAACGAAAUAUUAACAAAAAAACUGACGAAAAGAUGAAAAUAAAAUCACGGGACACUAACUUGAUACACUUUAAAUCAUACGGUACUAAAAUGAGAAAGUGUGAAACCACAUGAGUUGUAUUUGAAGUUUAACCUUUAUAUAUUUGUGCUCCACAAAUUUAUCAUAUUAUUUUUUUAUCUUAUAUUUUUAAUUCAAUAGUAGUUAAUUUUUUAUUUUUUAAAUAAAACUUUAAUAUGCAAAAUAUAGAAAGUGAUAACAAAUCGUGUGUAAAGUUUAUGUAAGAUAUAUUUAUUUGAGAAUAAAAAAUAAAAAUAACUGUAGUAUAAUUACAAUU